UACAACCAUAUCAUGUUGAAACACUAAUUCCCAUAUGAUCAACAAAGUUAAACAAUGUCAAGCCUGGUCAGUAUCAAGAUGGGUGACCACUUGGGAAUACCAAGUGCUGUAAG